UCUUGAGUAGUAUAGUGGUCAGUAUUUCCGCUUGUCAAGUGAUUGGCAAUUCGCGGGAGGCCGGGGUUCGAUUCCCCGCUCGAGAG